UAUAAAACUUAGGAUUUCAAGUAACGUUUACUUAAAAGGAUGAGUAUCGAAGAACUUUCCCCAAAACCCGGAGAUACUCUGCUCUAAUACGCAUGCGCACUUGACCACCGAAGACGUGAUUUCCUUUGAGGCGGCUGCUGGAAGCAGGAAGAAAGCGCUGCUCGGUCCAGAAGCUUUGCAGAACACAUGUAAAUUGAAGUGUUGGCCGGAAUAUCUGCAACAAGUCACUCCGGCAAGUACAGAUGUUACUGGGAUGCGAACAGCAGUCCUCCGUAGCCUUCCUGUCAUCCUUGGAGAUGAGAACACAGACUUCUUCAAGACAUGCUUUUUGUCAUUUCAGCACGCUCCAAAAGUGAUCCGCCACCACCCCUGACAC